rnacentral:rRNA from 1 species
UACGGGGGGGGUAAGCGUUGUUCGGAAUUACUGGGCGUAAAGGGCUCGUAGGCGGCCAACUAAGUCAGACGUGAAAUCCCUCAGCUUAACCGGGGAACUGCGUCUGAUACUGGAUGGCUUGAGUGUGGGAGAGGAAUGCGGAAUUCCAGGUGUAGCGGUGAAAUGCGUAGAUAUCUGGAGGAACACCGGUGGCGAAGGCGGCAUUCUGGACCAUUACUGACGCUGAGGAGCGAAAGCCAGGGGAGCAAACGGGG